rnacentral:rRNA from 1 species
GCUAAAUACUCCUGAGAGACCGAUAGUGAACCAGUACCGUGAGGGAAAGGUGAAAAGCACUUCGAACAGAAGAGUGAAAUAGUCCCUGAAACCAUGUGCCUACAAGCGGUCGGAGCACCUUCUGGUGUGACGGCGUGCCUUUUGCAUAAUGAGCCUACGAGUUACUCAUCACCAGCGAGGUUAAGUACUUCAGGUACGUAAGCCGAAGCGAAAGCGAGUCUGAAUAGGGCGUAUAGUCGGAAGGAGUAGACGCGAAACCAAGUGAUCUACCCUUGGGCAGGUUGAAGGAUGGGUAACACCAUCUGGAGGACCGAACCAAUAAGCGUUGAAAAGCUUCUGGAUGACCUGAGGGUGGGGGUGAAAGGCUAAUCAAACUCGGAGAUAGCUCGUACUCCCCGAAAUGCAUUUAGGUGCAGCCUCUUUAUAGUAUAUCGUGAGGUAGAGCGACUGAUUGGAUGCGAGGGCUUCACCGCCUAUCAAGUCCGGACAAACUCCGAAUGCUAGAACAUGAAGACAGGGAGUGAGCCAGCGGGUGCUAAGGUCCGUUGACGAAAGAGGGAGAACUCAGACCAUCAGCUAAGGUCCCCAAUUGUAUGCUAAGUUGGAAUUAAAACGGGGUGGGACUGCUUAGACAGCUAGGAUGUUGGCUUGGAAGCAGCCAUUCAUUUAAAGAGUGCGUAACAGCUCACUAGUCGAGCGGUCCUGCAUGGAUAAUACGCGGGCAUAAGCAUAUAACCGAAGCUAUGGGAUUGUAGAUGAUACAAUCGGUAGGAGAGCAUUCCAUUCAGCGUAGAAGCAGUACCGUGAGGUAUUGUGGAGCGGAUGGAAAAGCAAAUGUAGGCAUAAGUAACGAUAAUGCGGGUGAGAACCCCGCACGCCGAAAGAUCAAGGAUUCCCCGGCAAUGUCAAUCAUCCGGGGGUAAGUCGGAUCCUAAGGGUAAGCCGAGUGGCGAUCCCGAUGGCAAACAGGUUAAUAUUCCUGUACUGAUCAUAACUGCGAUGCAGCGACGCAGAGGUGACACUGCUGCGUACUGACGGAAUAGUACGUUGAAACCCGUAUUCUUUGAUACCGGUAGUGAAGCACGCCGGUAGAGAUGAAAGGUGAUAGUACCGCAAUGCUUCGGUUGCGCGGAUAACGCAGGUAAGCUGACUGCCAAGAAAACCUGCUAAGCUUCAGGUAAUGAUCAUCCGUACUGUAAACGGACACACGUGAUCAGGUAGAAAAUACUAAGGCGCUCGAGAGAUUCAUGGUUAAGGAACUAGGCAAAAUGACCCUGUAACUUCGGGAUAAAGGACGCUCUUGUGAAAGAGCCGCAGAUAAUAGGCCCAGGCGACUGUUUACCAAAAACACAUGGCUAUGCUAAUUCGCAAGAAGAUGUAUAUGGCCUGACACCUGCCCGGUGCCGGAAGGUUAAGAGGAGAGCUCAGAGGCAACUCGAAGGUUUGAAUUGAAGCCCCGGUAAACGGCGGCCGUAACUAUAACGGUCCUAAGGUAGCGAAAUUCCUUGUCGGGUAAGUUCCGACCUGCACGAAUGGUGUAAUGAUCUGGGUACUGUCUCAACCAUGAGCUCGGUGAAAUUGUAGUUCCGGUGAAGAUGCCGGAUACCCGCAACGGGACGGAAAGACCCCGUGAACCUUUACUGCAGCUUUGCAUUGAUUUUGGGUAACAGAUGUGUAGGAUAGGUCGGAGGCUUUGAUGCUGCGUCGUCAGGCGUAGAGUAGCCGUCGUUGAAAUACGACCCUUUUGUUAUCUGAGGUCUAAUCCCGUUAGGGAGACAUUGCAUGGUGGGUAGUUUGACUGGGGUGGUCGCCUCCAAAAGCGUAACGGAGGCUUCUAAAGGUGCCCUCAGACCGAUUGGUAACCGGUCGCAGAGUGUAAUGGCAUAAGGGCGCUUGACUGGGAGAGAUACAACUCGAUCAGGUAGGAAACUAGAGCAUAGUGAUCCGGUGGUUCCGCAUGGAAGGGCCAUCGCUCAACGGAUAAAAGCUACCCCGGGGAUAACAGGCUUAUCUCCCCCAAGAGU